UUGCAUCCAUAUUACGUUGAAAUACAGAUUCUCGUUCGAUCACCGAAGUUAAGCAACGUGAAGCCUGCUCAGUACCUAGAUGAGCGACUGCUCGAGAAUACUAGGUGCUGUAAG